rnacentral:rRNA from 1 species
GGUUGCAACCGUAUUGUUAUUAACCCAGAUAACCUGGAGGUCAUCGAAACCAUGAACAACGGAGGACGGAUGGCGAGUACAGCGGCGACAGUGUUUGACGAUUGUUACUUUUUGGCUUGUGAUUUUCCUAUUACUAGAUUCGAGCACUGUAAUAGGAAAGCAAAUAAAGUUGUCCAUGAACUUGCUAAGUUAGCUAAAUUUUCUUCAACUUUUGACUGGUUUGAGGAGCCUUUGAGUGAAAUUGUAUCCCUCCUCAUAAACAAUGUAUUAAUUGUUAUUGAAAAUGAAUAA